UACUCGAGUGGCGAACGGGUGAGUAACACGUGGGUGAUCUGCCCUGCACUUCGGGAUAAGCUUGGGAAACUGGGUCUAAUACCGGAUAGGACCGCACUUUAGUGUGUGUGGUGGAAAGUUUUUUCGGUGUAGGAUGAGCUCGCGGCCUAUCAGCUUGUUGGUGGGGUAACGGCCUACCAAGGCGGCGACGGGUAGCCGGCCUGAGAGGGUGUACGGCCACAUUGGGACUGAGAUACGGCCCAG
rnacentral:rRNA from 1 species